AGAUCUAUAAGGUACUGCCAGUGCAAGGAGGGGCUCAACCCCAUCUAUCAAGCUGCCCUCCUGCACAAGAAGAAUAUCCUAAAAUAACAUGACUGGGAUCUCUACGGAAAGGACUCUAGAGAUAGUGCCCAGAGGAGGCAUAGCUCAAGCCCACCUCCUCCAGGAUGCCCUCCUGGCACAGGCCAUCUCAGCCUUUCUGAAGCACCCACACGUUUGACCUUGACCUCCACCCCAGCCUUUUUCCUAUCUGCCUGAGACAAGCGAUGCACCAUAUCAAGGGGAGGUCUGUCCCCUUUUCCCAUCACCAUACCAACACCCAUCCUGGGAGAG
rnacentral:lncRNA from 1 species